AUUUUUUUAACAAAAGGCCUAACCGCAAACUCCAAAAAUGAUCUUUCUCUCUCCGUCUCGCUCUUCCUCCCUCAAGCUGUACUGGGAAGUUAAUUUGGUGAUGAUGGCAAUGGAGGUCCUGGGAGGCUAAUAGCUUUUCCAGAUGCAGACUGUAAACCAUACGAUGACGUGACGGGUCACUGGGAAUCUUCGGAGUAACAUACCACUGUUUUUGCAGUAUUGUAUACUGUGCAUGAAAUGAACA